CCUUCUACACUUAAAUCUGACCAGCUAAUUCAAUGCGUUGGCGAUCACAGAAGCAUGAAGGCCAAGGGAAGAGACGGUUGUGGUGGCACAGAGAGGCUCAGUGGCCACUUGAACAAGGAGACUCUUCAUCUUUCUUAGCUGAAGUCAAGAAGCAGAUUGCUGAUUUAGUCGUACAUGGGAGCAGGUCGCUGAUGGCCUCAAAACAUCAUCCACACCCAUUAGAAGGAUAGCUGACAAUUCCCAAGGAAUUAACUUAGAUACCAAGUCCCCCUGCUGAGGAACAUCUCAAUCUCAUAGUCUCUGCCAUUCCAAUCCUGGAAGAUGGAGCUGUCCACAGUUGACUAAUUCUUUGCCAGACAUGUGGAUGAGCUGUAGAUAUCCAAUGAAUCAGAAUCCCAAUCCACAGGUGUCAGAAGAUCAAAAUCCAACAAGAUCAUCUUAGAUCAUCUGCUCCAAAUCUUCUUCCAACUCUCUAGGUGAUCUCAAUAUAUGUAUCUUAAGGGCACUAACGAUGAAGUAGUCACAGUCCCCAUGAACGUUAAGAUGCAUGCAUCAAUUCCAGGGCCUGCUUCCAUGGUUUCAUCACCAUGAGUAGACUCGAGGACAGCUCCUGUCGGCUUAGCUUCUCUGUCAAAUGAGAUCAGUUGGCCAUUGCCGAAGCUUUAAGCAGUGGGACUGUUUCCCAUAUUUACUUGAUACAACAUGAACUUUGGCACAUAAGCCUUAGGCAAUCGUGGAUUUCUUGUUAUGAGUAUAUGAUUACCGAUGCUCUAGGG